rnacentral:pre_miRNA from 1 species
GUAGUAUUCCCUCCGUCGCAAAAUUCUUGUCUUACAUUUGUUUAGAUACGGAUGUAUCUAACACUAAAAUGUAACUAGAUACAUCCGUAUUUAGAAAAAUUUAAGACAAGAAUUUUGGGACGGAGGGAGUACAAA